rnacentral:rRNA from 1 species
AUGGCUACGAGUUUAUUUCUAAUGAGUUUGUUGAUGCUUUUGCUUGACUCUAACCCCUGCACAGCUCUCUCAUGGAGGAACAAUAGUUUAGUGGAUGAUAUUGGUAUACCAUGUCCAGUUUCUCCGCAUCCGUUUACUAUGUGCAAGUCAGAGGCAGAAGCUUACGGCUAUCCAUGUGAAGAUCACAAGGUCACAACUGAAGAUGGAUAUAUUCUUAGCUUAAAAAGGAUUCCUCAUGGCCAUGAUACUGAUAACUCAACCGGGGAUGAGAAGACAAGGCAACCAAUACUGCUAUUCCACGGGCUUUUUGUGGAUGGCGUUUCUUGGCUACUGGGUACACCAGACCAAUCACUUGGCUUUAUUUUGGCAGACGGUGGGUUUGAUGUUUGGCUAGCGAACACUCGUGGAACUAAUACCAGCCGCAAACAUACAUCGCUGUCCCCAAAAAAUCCGGCUUUCUGGGAUUGGUCGUGGGACCAAAUUGCUGAAUAUGAUCUUCCAGCCGUGCUUGAGUUUGUGUAUCACCACACAGGACGUCAAAAAGUCCACUAUAUCGGUCACUCACUGGGAACCUUGAUUAUUCUUGCAGCCUUCUCUGAGCACAAGUUACUACACUUAGUUCGAUCAGCUGUGUUGCUCUGCCCAAUCGCUUAUCUGAGCAGAACUAGAUCCGAUCUCACCCGGCUUGCUGCUAAAAUGUUCAUGGCAGAAGCAGCUCACUUUAUAGGUCUUCACGAGUUCAAUCCUGUUGGAAAAACUGCAGCUGAACUUCUAGCCAAAGUAUGUGGCGACCCCAAAAUUGACUGCCACGAUGUAUUUUCUGCUCUUGCAGGACCGGACUGUUGCCUCAAUAAAUCAACUACAUGUGCCUUCAUGCUGCAUGCUCCACAGCCUACGUCUAUGAGAAACCUUAUUCACUUGUCGCAGAUGGUCAGGAACGAAGGGGUCAGAAGGUAUGACUACGGCAAUGCCAAGGAAAACAUGAAGCAUUACAAGCAACCACGCCCUCCGCUGUACAACCUCUCAUCCAUUCCGACCCAUGUCCCCAUGCUCCUGACGCAUGGCGGCCAAGACUUCCUCGGCGAUGUCCCUGACACCAGGCACCUCCUGAAGACACUGGUCAGAAACCAUGACUCCGAUAACAUCGAGGUGCAAUACUUGCCCGACUAUGCUCAUGCUGACUUUGUGAUAGCCUAUAAUGCUCCACGCCUCGUAUAUGAACCGAUGGUCGACUUCUUUCAACGUCACUGA